rnacentral:lncRNA from 1 species
AUGGGAGAUUCUCUCCAGUCAGUAUGGGGGAUUCUCUCCAGUCAGUAUUGGGUUUGUCUCCAGUCAGUAUGGGGGAUUUUCUCCAGUCAGUAUUGGGUUUGUCUCCAGUCAGUAUGGGGGAUUCUCUCCAGUCAGUAUGGGGGAUUCUCUCCAGUCAGUAUGGGGGAUUCUCUCCAGUCAGUAUGGGGGAUUCUCUCCAGUCAGUAUGGGGGAUUCUCUCCAGUCAGUAUGGGGGAUUCUCUCCAGUCAGUAUGGGAGAUUCUCUCCAGUCAGUAUGGGGGAUUCUCUCCAGUCAGUAUGGGGGAUUCUCUCCAGUCAGUAUUGGGUUUGUCUCCAGUCAGUAUGGGGGAUUUUCUCCAGUCAGUAUUGGGUUUGUCUCCAGUCAGUAUGGGGGAUUCUCUCCAGUCAGUAUGGGGGAAUUCUCUCCAGUCAGUAUGGGGGAUUCUCUCCAGUCAGUAUGGGGGAUUCUCUCCAGUCAGUAUGGGGGAUUCUCUCCAGUCAGUAUGGGGGAUUCUCUCCAGUCAGUAUGGGGGAUUCUCUCCAGUCAGUAUGGGAGAUUCUCUCCAGUCAGUAUGGGGGAUUCUCUCCAGUCAGUAUGGGGGAUUCUCUCCAGUCAGUAUGGGGGAUUCUCUCCAGUCAGUAUGGGGGAUUCUCUCCAGUCAGUAUGGGGGAUUCUCUAGUCAGUAUGGGAGAUUCUCUCCAGUCAGUAUGGGAGAUUCUCUCCAGUCAGUAUGGGGGAUUCUCUCCAGUCAGUAUGGGGGAUUCUCUCCAGUCAGUAUGGGGGAUUCUCUCCAGUCAGUAUGGGGGAUUCUCUCCAGUCAGUAUGGGGGAUUCUCUCCAGUCAGUAUGGGGGAUUCUCUCCAGUCAGUAUGGGGGAUUCUCUCCAGUCAGUAUUGGGUUUGUCUCCAGUCAGUAUGGGGGAUUCUCUCCAGUCAGUAUUGGGUUUGUCUCCAGUCAGUAUGGGGGAUUCUCUCCAGUCAGUAUGGGAGAUUCUCUCCAGUCAGUAUGGGGGAUUCUCUCCAGUCAGUAUGGGAGAUUCUCUCCAGUCAGUAUGGGGGAUUCUCUCCAGUCAGUAUGGGAGAUUCUCUCCAGUCAGUAUGGGGGAUUCUCUCCAGUCAGUAUUGGGUUUGUCUCCAGUCAGUAUGGGGGAUUCUCUCCAGUCAGUAUGGGGGAUUCUCUCCAGUCAGUAUGGGGGAUUCUCUCCAGUCAGUAUGGGGGAUUCUCUCCAGUCAGUAUUGGGUUUGUCUCCAGUCAGUAUGGGAGAUUCUCUCCAGUCAGUAUGGGAGAUUCUCUAGUCAGUAUGGGGGAUUCUCUCCAGUCAGUAUGGGGGAUUCUCUCCAGUCAGUAUGGGGGAUUCUCUAG